UGGGGAAUCUUGCACAAUGGGGGAAACCCUGAUGCAGCGACGCCGCGUGAGCGAUGAAGGUUUUCGAAUCGUAAAGCUCUGUCCUAUGGGAAGAUAAUGACGGUUCCAUAGGAGGAAGCCCCGGCUAACUACGUGCCAGCAGCCGCGGUAAUACGUAGGGGGCGAGCGUUGUCCGGAAUUACUGGGCGUAAAGGGUUCGCAGGCGGCAUGACAAGUCCGAUGUAAAAGGCGAAAGCUCAACUUUCGUAAGCAUCGGAAACUGUCAAGCUUGAGUGAAGGAGAGGCAAGUGGAAUUCCUAGUGUAGCGGUGGAAUGCGUAGAUAUUAGGAGGAAUACCGGUGGCGAAGGCGACUUGCUGGACUUCAACUGACGCUGAGGAACGAAAGCGUGGGUAGCAAACAGG
rnacentral:rRNA from 1 species